rnacentral:rRNA from 1 species
GGGGAAUAUUGCGCAAUGGGGGGAACCCUGACGCAGCCAUGCCGCGUGAAUGAAGAAGGCCUUAGGGUUGUAAAGUUCUUUCGGUAUUGAGGAAGGUUGAUGUGUUAAUAGCACAUCAAAUUGACGUUAAAUACAGAAGAAGCACCGGCUAACUCCGUGCCAGCAGCCGCGGUAAUACGGAGGGUGCGAGCGUUAAUCGGAAUAACUGGGCGUAAAGGGCACGCAGGCGGUUAUUUAAGUGAGGUGUGAAAGCCCUGGGCUUAACCUAGGAAUUGCAUUUCAGACUGGGUAACUAGAGUACUUUAGGGAGGGGUAGAAUUCCACGUGUAGCGGUGAAAUGCGUAGAGAUGUGGAGGAAUACCGAAGGCGAAGGCGGCCCCUUGGGAAUGUACUGACGCUCAUGUGCGAAAGCGUGGGGAGCAAACAGGAUUAGAUACCCUGGUAGUCCACGCUGUAAACGCUGUCGAUUUGGGGGUUGGGGUUUAACUCUGGCGCCCGUAGCUAACGUGAUAAAUCGACCGCCUGGGGAGUACGGCCGCAAGGUUA